rnacentral:rRNA from 1 species
AGAGUUUGAUCCUGGCUCAGGACGAACGCUGGCGGCGUGCUUAACACAUGCAAGUCGAACGAUGAACCACUUCGGUGGGGAUUAGUGGCGAACGGGUGAGUAACACGUGGGCAAUCUGCCCUUCACUCUGGGACAAGCCCUGGAAACGGGGUCUAAUACCGGAUAACACUGCGGAUCGCAUGGUCUGCGGUUAAAAGCUCCGGCGGUGAAGGAUGAGCCCGCGGCCUAUCAGCUUGUUGGUGAGGUAAUGGCUCACCAAGGCGACGACGGGUAGCCGGCCUGAGAGGGCGACCGGCCACACUGGGACUGAGACACGGCCCAGACUCCUACGGGAGGCAGCAGUGGGGAAUAUUGCACAAUGGGCGAAAGCCUGAUGCAGCGACGCCGCGUGAGGGAUGACGGCCUUCGGGUUGUAAACCUCUUUCAGCAGGGAAGAAGCGAAAGUGACGGUACCUGCAGAAGAAGCGCCGGCUAACUACGUGCCAGCAGCCGCGGUAAUACGUAGGGCGCAAGCGUUGUCCGGAAUUAUUGGGCGUAAAGAGCUCGUAGGCGGCUUGUCACGUCGAUUGUGAAAGCCCGAGGCUUAACCUCGGGUCUGCAGUCGAUACGGGCUAGCUAGAGUGUGGUAGGGGAGAUCGGAAUUCCUGGUGUAGCGGUGAAAUGCGCAGAUAUCAGGAGGAACACCGGUGGCGAAGGCGGAUCUCUGGGCCAUUACUGACGCUGAGGAGCGAAAGCGUGGGGAGCGAACAGGAUUAGAUACCCUGGUAGUCCACGCCGUAAACGGUGGGCACUAGGUGUUGGCGACAUUCCACGUCGUCGGUGCCGCAGCUAACGCAUUA